CCCUGGGCAAGAAAACAAAUGGAAUUUCAGAGAAUUCAGAACAAAUACUACAAAUCAGGGACCAUACUCAAACCUCCUUUCAAUCUUACACUUUUGAAAGACAAUUUAGAAGCACAAAGGACACAGAGCAACUCCACUCUAAUAGUUACAUUGAGCCUUUACUUUUGACUUUCUUCUGUUGAGCUGGAAUUAAAUUUUUCUUCAGUAAAAAGUUUUCUCAGCUUCUCUAUGGUGCAUAUCAUAUUAUCUCCAAUGUAAAAUGCUAAAGAAAAAACUGAGGCAGAGCAUGGGUUUGAAAGGCUAAGGCAUUGCCUUCUAAUCCACACAGGAAGACCAGAGAGAUAGCCUCAGGCUGCUGCAGGUGUAGGCCCUCAAUGGAUUGAAUGAUGCCUGAACAUGUUGGAGAAGCGCGAGUGGAAUCUAUAAUCAGAAUUUAUGAGAAGAAAACAGCUGUUUGCCGCAAAAUGAUAGAGUCCAUUCACUGUCCU